AGCCUCAGCCUCUGGUGAAACUGGACUUUCAAGUCUGUGCAGGUGAAGGUGUGUGAGAGCGCCCGAGAUGGCAGAACAAGAGCUACAGGUUCUAAACAAGAUGAGACACAAAAUAAAGAUUAAAGAUGGAGUCCAAAAUGUCAUCUUCCCGACUGACAGAGGUACAGUUGAGGUGGUGACUUAAUGGGGAACCAAACUGAGCCUACAGCCUGAAUCGAGUUCCAGUCCCCUCCUGGUCGCAGGCCAGCAAACUGCCACUAUGAAAGAGCAAAGGAAAGCCCAUGCUGCCUGCAGGCAGGUUCUGUUCAAGGGAAUGAAAGACAGCCAGAAGCCAAAACAUGUCCAGUUUAUCUUCCCAAAUUUUCAAAUCAGGGAUUCAGACAAGUCAAGGCACAGGAGAGGUGAAAGCUUCCGCGUUUAUCCCUGAAGAUCAGAGCCUCCGAGCGGCCGAGGACUGGCGGGAAGGGGGCGGCUGGUCCCUGGAGGCGGCCGCGCCCACGUGCAGAGGCGGGCCUGCGCUCACGAGUGGAACCUCCUGAAUUCCUGUGGGAGCCGAGAGUUGGAAUAUGGUGUGAGUGGAGACAGGCUCCAGGAAGAGUUCAGGAAGGCGAGGGAGCCAGUAAUCCACAGCAGCAUGACAAGGGAAAGAUGCGGGCCAUCUGGAAAGCUACUCGAGGCAUCUCUCCUCUCUGCGGUAAUUUCUCUCCCUGGAUCACUUGCCAGAGUUGGCUGCCAAGGCAAGGACUCUCCUGGAAGUUGAGAAACUGCUGAAAUACUGUGAAGAUUCAGGAACUAAAAGCCACGCUGCAGAUGGGAAUUGCUGGAAGACUUUCCUCUCUCUGGGCCUCCUCCUCUUCCCUCCUCUCCCAUUCUAAAACGUGUUUUAGGUUCUGUCUUUCAUGAAAUUCCUUCUUAUCCCAAUUUCCACUUCCUACUUUCCUGGGCACCAAAAAGGGAAGAGGGAGCACUGAAUGUUGAAAGCAGCCACCCCCAGUCCUCACCCCAACACACACACACACACACACACACACACACAUACACACACACAUCUCUAAAACACUUCACCCAUUUUUAGCAGAUAAAAAGGUUAAAGGAAAAUGUAGACUUUUGCCAGGAUCUAUCUUAUUGCCUAAUCAAUCUGCUUGGAUGGUGUGACUGACAGAUUUUAAAACAGGCUUUCAGAUUUUAAGCUAGCUGCUCUGUGUUUGAUUCGGCCUUUUGUCAUGAACGCUUUGUAUUUGGAGGGUAGAGGUGGCAGAGCCUGUAUGCGGCUGAUGGGGGGAGUUUUGAACAUAUUUGUGCUGAUCUCACCAGCCUUUGAGGGGACGCACCAAACAUUUCCCUUUCGUGUGCUUGUGUUUGUGGUUCGUGUACAUGUGGGGUUAUUAUUCUACUUAGUACCUCCAUUCAGUUCGCCCAGGAGAGUUUUCUAGACAUUGACUUUAUUUCCUUAUUUUUUUGAUUCAAGUGUCACAAAUGUUGAACAUCAGUAAAUUGCUCUGAGCUGAUUUAAGCCAUUGUCGAAUUUGACCUUAAUCAUAACCACAGGAGUAUACUCUAUACAAAUUCUUUAGUGUUUUGUAGAAGCGAGUAGUUUAUAUGUUCAUUCAAGUGAAGUGUUCAUAGUCACAUUUUUGCUUAAAUACUAAGAUACAACAUUUCCAGGCAAAAAGUAAAGAGUGGUCCCCAAAAGUGUAACUCUUUAAAAUGAUGUCAUUCUAGUUGAGGGUGGGUGUAGCUCAGUGGUAGAGAGCAUGGUUAGCAUGCACGAGGUCCUGGGUUCAAUCCCCAGCACAUCUAUUAAAAUAAAUAAAUAAAUAAACCUAAUCACACACCCCCCAAUAAAAUUAAAUUUAAAAAAAUAAAAUUAAAAAAAAAUUUAAAUGAUCUCAUUCUACUAAUAAAUGGAGCCCAGUUGUGUAUGUUUACGUGCUGGGGGCAGUGCUCAGUGGUGGGGGUGACCCCGACAGUGAGCCAGCAGAUUCACGCUGUGGUCCCCAACUGCCCCUCACCCACCAGCUGUGUAAGCAUGGGUCACUUUGUCUUUCUCAGCCACUCUUUCCUUCUGUGGAGGAAAUUUAGAAUCAUCUAGACCAAGGCUAAAUCUGGCCCACUGCCUGAUUUUAUACAUCUCGCAAGCUAGGGAUGGCUUUUACAUUUUUAUACAGUUGGUAAAAUAGUAUUCCAUGAAAGGUGAAAAUUAUAUGAAAUUUAAAUUUCAGCGGCUCAUAAAUAAAGUUUUAUUGGCAUAUAGCCAUGCUCACUUAUUUAGGUAUUGUCUGUGGCUGUUUUCCCGGUGCAGUGGUGGUAUUGAGUAGUUGCCAUGGAGAUGGUAUGGCCCAGAAGCCUAAAAUACUUACUGUCUGGUCCUUUGCUGAAAAAGGUUUCUGGCCCUGAUCUAGUUCAACUCCUUGACAGAUGAGGAAAUUAAAGCUUGGCCAAGUCUUAGCUCAAAAAGACAAAGCAUAGAGAGAGACAAAUGGCCAUUUUGAAGCAUCCAAAGGGAAAAAAACAAUUAACAAUAAACAAAAGAGUAAGGACGCAAAAGGAAUGUCUUUCUUACAUGACAAAGGAUCAUGUGUUAUACGAGAGAUAAGGACAAAGACCUUGCGAAACCCUCAGGACAUGCUGCAUUGUCUGCACAGAAGAACUGGUAUUUUCUUAAUCUGGAAUCAAAUUAUGAUGGGUUGCCGAGGAGGAUUUGGGAGGUGGGCAGAUGACGUCAGAAGCAGCUUGAGAUUCUUCAUGCUGAUAAGACUCCAGGAAACUUACACCCAAACUCGCUGCAGGAAAUGGAGGUGGACAUUUGAAACGCUUUAGUGGGCCUUUUCAAAAGUGUGGGAGGUCUGGAAGGGAUGAGGCAAUGCUGUGACUGGAGAAAGGGAGCUGGGGGUGGAUUAGAACUUUUGAGUCAAAGAAGGUCUAAUGUCAGAAAAUCCCAAAGCCCUUCAGGUCACAGACUCGACUUAUAAUAGCCAGCAUUGUUCUGAGAGCUUGGCCCUCACUAGUGACAAGGCUCAUAUCCCAGCAGGUAUACAGGAGCAAAGUAAGCGUGCAGUCGGCCACAUAACGAUUUUAGGAAGGUUUAGACAGUUUCAUGGGGUGAGGGAGGCGGAAACAAGUUCAUCACCCUUCAGUUCACGUAGGAGCAUUGCUGGAAUAUGACUGAUGAUGAAAAAUAAUAUUUCAAGCCCAAACGUGAACAGGGGAGAGAAGAAAUUGCCCCGAGAUCCGCACUGCUGAUGAUCAACGGGGUGCCAAGCUCUGCUCCCCUGGGAAGGGCUGAAGUGGAUAAAAUAUAAAAUUGAACUUGCUGAACAGAAAGGAUCUACCCUGGGAAUUCAGUUUAUUGCCAACACACAGUCAGUAUUUCACUGAUUCAGCGAGCAAGAAGGACCCUCUCUAAACUGAACUCGUGGUUAACAGCGUGAGCUUGCGAGUCAGACUGCCUGGGGUUGCAUCCAAAAUCUACCGCUUGAAUUCCUUGGGCAAGUUACUGAACCUCUCAGGUCUCAUUGUCUUCUGUAAUAAUAACACUAAUUUUAAAAGAACAAUAAUAAUAGUACCUGCAUUAUGGGCUACUGAAUUUAAGUGAGAUUAUUGAUAGACAGUGCUUGGGACAACUGAGCAUUCAUGGGCACUCAUUCGAUGCCCCAUGCCUGCUAUUGGCUUCAUUGUUGAGCAUAUUAACUCAGAAUAUGGAUCUGAGUGCAAAUAGUUGUGGGUUGAACUUCCAGCUUCACCACUGAGUAGCCUUGAAACCUUGAGCAGAUUACCUCAACUCUCUGAGCUUCAGUUUUCCUAUUUGUAAAAUAGUGGUAACAAUAGUACUUACCUUAAGGGGCUAUGGUGAGGAUUUAAGUGAGAAAAUAUACUUAAAGUGCUUGGGAGUGUUUCCGGUACUUAGCUAUUAUGCUGACGAUUAUGAUAUCAUCAUCACCUUUAUUAUUAUCAUUCAUUGGUCCCCUAACACCCAAAAAUGUUCUGAAGACAGGCUGUGGAACAGUAAGCCUGAUAAGUGAUGCGUACUUGGCAUACAUAUACAAAGAAUCUUCACAUAAAUGACUUGAUCAAAUGGUGGUAAAAUGGGUUCAGAUUGUCAUGGGAUUCCUCCCCUGAGCUGGACAGACAGGGUGCAGGCUGAAGGGAGACUGUGGAGGAUGCUGCCACGGGCAUCCCCACUGGCUGGGGACCUCCUCCCGCCCCAACGCCCUCCAGGCUAAGCCCAGAAGCGCUGUGUGCUCUGACUCCUUUGAUUCUCCCCUUGAAUCAUUGAGAUUCUUGCUUCUGGUCUUCCCACCUCCUUUCUGCCAAAUUCCGUUAUUCUUGUUUCCAUCAGGCUUCUCCACAUUGGGAACUCGUGGCUACAAUACCGCCUCGUGUUCCAGGUAAAAUUAAGCUCCUGACUCAUCUCCUUUAUCAACAAGAAGAUAGAAGCGAUGGUCCCUGGAGAGGAAAGGGCUCUUUAAUAGCUGGCUCAAUCUCUCUUCUUAGUUUGCUGAGUCCAGACGUCAUUUCCUACCAUUAAGAGAUUUGUUUGCUUAUCUGAUAUUCCACAGCUUAAAUUACUGGGCAUUCACAGUGACGGGGCUCGACAAACCUGCUUUUCCCAUUUCUUGCUACCCACACCCUUUCACUUCUGCUAACUCCUUCACAAUGAACAGAAGGGAGCCUAUCCACUGACAUCAGGAGUUACAAGAACAUGUGUUAUAGAUGCCGGCGGUGUACCAGUGAGCACACGGCGUGGUAAGGCUGGGGUGUUGCUCCCAUUCAAUUUCUUAAGAACUGAGGGUCUCUUCUCCCAAAUAAGCCAGAUUGGAAGGUUUGUCUUUCCUUCUGCUUUUCCAUGUGCCCAUCUGGGAGACCGUUGGGGAAUAAGUAACACAUGGAACUCAAGUUCUCGUGCUCAUAAUUUCCUUCCUGUGAACCUGUGGGGUCCGUGGGAUCACUUCAUCCCACUUUUUCUUUUUGCUGGUGAGGAAGUCAUGAAGUAUGGUAAUGGCUGGAUCCUACCGAGCUUGGACAAGAGCUUGGCUCUCCUGACUCUCAGGCUGCCACCCUUGCCUCCUUACAGUUCUUGUUGCCUUCCCUGCUCAUGGCUGGAGUGGAUUCUCCUUGGUGCCUUUUCUGAUGAUUCUAGGCAGCCAGGACUCAUUCGGGGACCUGGCUCUUGUGUAGUUUUCUCGGUGCAUGGCAUCCUCUGCAGACCUAAAGAUUUCCCCUAGUGGCCUGUGGUCAGGACAGAUACUUAUUUGGGGUGAGGAACUGGGUUGCCUGAAUCUGAUUGGCAGAAGGUUUAAGGUGUGAAGUGUGAGGUCACUGUGUGUUUUUUCAGCUUGGUAUGGCCCAGAACCCAAGUCCCACUAGGAAAGAAAACAUUGAAUAAAUAGUCCCCGAUUGGGCCAUAGAGUAAUGAGUGUGACAAAGGUCAAGUACAGGAUAUUAAGCAAGUGUGUCUCCAGGAUUUUAAUUUAGGUUGGGUCCAAGGAGACAGCCUAGAGGAUGUCAUGUGUAAGCAGAGACCUGACGACUGAAGAACGUUCCAGGCCAAAGAGACAGCAUCUGUAAAGGAAGAGCUGAGGCAGGAAGUAGGGUUACCUGUCUUGGCCUGACCUUGGCUUUUGCUCAUUUAUCUGGUGGGACUUGAUCAGGCCCAUUCCAGAACCUUCCUGCUCUGCCACCACCAAGGGCAAUGGUGCUGCUGCAGGGACUCAGCUGUCUGUCUCCAUGAGCUUCUGGCUCUUAUACCAAGGCUCAAGGCAACAAGUCGGGUCAGUCACCUCCAGUGAAUGUGAGCGAGGUGAGAGGCGUGGUGAAUGGCUGAGACACACCCCACCUCCCCAUCUCCCUGCAGGACUGAAGGACUCACUCCCCGAGGCUAUGAGGACCGGCAGCAGACAACCUCCAGUGACCAGUCUUACUUCAAAAGCAGGCAGUUCUGGGGCACCAUCCCAUGUUCAGAACUCUUAAGACUUCCUUUGACUUCCUUGUCCUUUGACUUCUCUCUCAACUCAAUCCUGCUUCCUCUCCUCCCCCUCUAAAGGCUUUGGUCUCAAGAGAUCCUUAUAAACCUCCUCCUGCACACCAAUCAUCAUCUCAGGGGCUGCUUCCUAGGGAACCACCUUGUAGCAGAUGAAAAGACCUAGGAUCGAGGAUGAGAAGACUGUGUCUGAGCCUGUCCCAUCCUGACCAUGUUAUCUUGGACCAGACUUAGUACUUCCUGCUGGGGUUGGUACCAGGCACCAUGCCUGUCACACAGAAGGUUCUCAGUAAGUGCUUGUUGAUUCAGACAGUGGAUGGAACUUUCUCUGUACAUGUUCUUAAAACCCGCACAGUUGUCAAUUAUUAUUAUUUAGAUUUAGAAAGGGGAAAAAACAUAAAAUAACUCCAAUGAAAUAGUGAAAGAUGGGCUUAUAUGUGUAAUCUGAAAACUAUUACGAAUGAAUCUAUAUACAAAACAGCAACAGAUUCACAGACAUAGAAAACAAACUUAUGGUUACCAAAGGAAGAAGGAGAGGAAGAGAGGGAUAAAUUAAGUGUGUGGGAUUAACAGAUACAAAGUACUACACAUAAAACUGAUAAGCAAUAAGGAUUUACUGUGUAGCACAGGGAACGAUAUUCAAUAUCUUAGAAUAACCUAUAAUGAAACAGAAUCUGAAAAUACAUAUAUAUAACUGAAUCACCUUGCUGUACACCAGAAACUAACACAAUAUUGUAAAUCGAGUAUAUUUCAAUAAAAAAAAAGUGAAAGAUGGAACUAGAUUGAAAGUUGGAGACCCUGGAGUGGGAGAGCAGGGAAGAGGAUCCACAGUUGUCCAGAGGAGACAUAAUGAAGAAGAAAGGGAGACCGAGCGCUCAGAGCAAUGAGAACUGGGAAGGAACAGAGGCACAGAAACCAAGGGGUGAACAGGUGCACAACAAGGGAACAUCGACAGCAUGUGCUGCUUCAGAAAUGCCCAGUGGGUUAAGCAAUGAUGGAAAAAGUCAGAUUCCAGAGUGACGCUCCCAUUCACUCUUCCAGCAAUGACCCACGGGGCCUCAGAAGUCUACUCAGAAGGAAGGGAUUGUGGACGGGAACAUAUCUGUCUCCUUGGUCACCGUGGACCCUGUGCUCCAGAAGCUGCUUGUCCCGACUGGGCACCAGACAGCCUUUUAUUAUUAUUGAAUAAUUCUAGGUGCUUGAAAAUAAAGUUGGUAGUUCA